UGUGUGUGGCUGAGACUACAGGUUUCCAAUCAGAUCUCCAAUUGGAGGGCGUGCCAACCCGACAGGUGAUCCACCUGUUUCUCAUCUGGUGCAGCUCUUAUAAGGAGCAGCUGGACUACCCUUCACCGCCUGAUUGUCCGACUAAGUUGGCUCCGCUGUCACUCCAUCUGCCUGCCCGCUCUCCACCGUUUGGUCUCCAGCCCACCUUUGCAAUCCACAAGCCCCCUCCGGGAUCGGCUCAUCUUCUGAAACAUCUCCCCUAGUUCUGGGUUACCCGUGGCUUUCUCUCCACAACCCCCACCUGGAUUGGAGCAAUGGUCGAGUGGAGUCAUGGAGUCCAUAUUGUUUAUCCACUUGCUUGCAGUCAGC